GAUGAACGCUGGCGGCGUGCCUAAUACAUGCAAGUCGAACGUGAGAGGGUACUUGUAUCCUUGGAAGUGGCGGACGGGUGAGUAAGACGUAGGUGACCUGCCUUGAAGUGGGGGAUAACCAUUGGAAACGAUGGCUAAUACCGCAUAAGCUGGUGACGAUGGGAAUCGUUAUCAGGAAAGCUUUAGUGCUUUGAGAGGGGCCUACGGCCGAUUAGCUAGUUGGUGAGGUAAAGGCUCACCAAGGCGAUGAUCGGUAGCUGGUCUGAGAGGACGAUCAGCCACACGGGAACUGAGACACGGUCCCGACUCCUACGGGAGGCUGCAGUCGAGAAUCUUCCGCAAUGCACGAAAGUGUGACGGAGCGACGCCGCGUGUCGGAUGAAGGCC
rnacentral:rRNA from 1 species